GAAACUGCGAAUGGCUCAUUAAAUCAGUUAUGGUUUAUUUGAUGGUACCUACUACUUGGAUAACCGUAGUAAUUCUAGAGCUAAUACAUGCAGGAAGACCCGACUUUGGAAGGGUUGUAUUUAUUAGAUAAGAAACCUUCCCCUUCGGGGUUGCGUGCUGAGUCACAAUAACUGCUCGAAUCGCAUGGCUUUACGCCGGCGAUGGUUCAUUCAAAUUUCUGCCCUAUCAGCUUUCGAUGGUAGGAUCGAGGCCUACCAUGGCGUUUACGGGUAACGGAGAAUUAGGGUUCGAUUCCGGAGAGGGAGCCUGAGAGAUGGCUACCACAUCCAAGGAAGGCAGCAGGCGCGUAAAUUGCCCGAAUCCUGACACAGGGAGGUAGUGACAAGAAAUAACAAUACAGGGCUACAUCUAGUCUUGUAAUUGGAAUGAGUACAAUUUACAUCUCUUCACGAGGAUCAAUUGGAGGGCAAGUCUGGUGCCAGCAGCCGCGGUAAUUCCAGCUCCAAUAGCGUAUAUUAAAGUUGUUGCAGUUAGAACGCUCGUAGUCGGAUUUCGGGGCGGGCCGACCGGUCUGCCGAUGGGUACGCACUGGUCGGCGCGUCCUUCCUUCCGGAGACUGUGCCUACUCUUAACUGAGCGGGGGCAGGAGACGGAUCGUUUACUUUGAAAAAAUCAGAGUGUUUCAAGCAGGCAGCUCGCUCUUGCAUGGAUUAGCAUGGGAUAAUGAAAUAGGACUUUGGUGCUAUUUUGUUGGUUUCGAACACCGAAGUAAUGAUUAAAAGGGACAGUCAGGGGCACUCGUAUUCCGCCGAGAGAGGUGAAAUUCUCAGACCAGCGGAAGACGAACCACUGCGAAAGCAUUUGCCAGGGAUGUUUUCACUGAUCAAGAACGAAAGUUAGGGGAUCGAAGAGGAUCAGAUACCCUCGUA
rnacentral:rRNA from 1 species